UUGAGAUUUCAAUAACUUCAGCCGAUCAGGCUUUUAAUUAUCUACUUCGAUUUAAGAGGGGAACUACCUUUAAAGGCUGCAAAAAAAGACUUUGUAGGAAACAGGAUACUGUUCUUUUUAAAUCCAUAUAAUAUUUAUUCAGACUGUUUCCUGAGAUAAUAGGAAUAACUUUUUUACAAACGUGAAAAUUUUAACAAAAUUAUUAGGGGUUAUGUCACCGCUGACAUCGCAGAUUAUGGAGGUGUGCUGUACACAUUUUUAGUCUGAAAUUAACAACCCAAUCAUUUUAUUACUCAGGUGGGCUUUUUAACGUCGAUGAACUGUAAUCUUUUCAAAAUUCAAAAAUUAUCCCUUUCCCACAGGCUCUAAAAAACCAAGUUCGGGAUUUUCACAAAAAAAUUCGUUGUAAUUGCUGUCAAACAAGGUCUAAGAAUGAGUUUUUUUUUAAAUUUUAGUCUAUAUAAAAUAAAUUAAAUACCGAAAGCGUUUGCGGAAAGCGAGUUUAAUAUAAACAAGCAGUUAUGAAAAUUUAAGCUGCUCUAUAAAUCACGAUUUGGCAAAAGCUUUUUUCCACGCGCACUUUAACGCCCACAAUCCGCCCAAAACUGUCUCGUCCAAUCAUCGGGGAAAUUUUUGAUAUCCCCAAUUUCUACCGAUAUUCCAGAAAAUGUUGGUAUUUUUGUUCGCACUUUCACUACCUGA